GCCGAAGAUCGUGUCUCGAGGGAGCUGGAGAAAACAGCUCAGUACCAGGCACGCCUGGCCAAGAGGGCAAAGAAACCUAAGCGCAUACGGGCUGUCACCGAGGAUGACGGCUCAAAAACACAUCCACCCAAAGGGAAGAAAAGUGCCAAGAAACGCAAAGGCUUCGAUGCAGAACUUGUGGAUACCAGCCGGAAGGCCGU